UACAGAGGGGGCAAGCGUUGUUCGGAAUUACUGGGCGUAAAGGGCGCGUAGGCGGCCUGUUAAGUCGGACGUGAAAUCCCCGGGCUCAACCCGGGAACUGCGUCCGAUACUGGCAGGCUUGAAUCCGGGAGAGGGAUGCGGAAUUCCAGGUGUAGCGGUGAAAUGCGUAGAUAUCUGGAGGAACACCGGUGGCGAAGGCGGCAUCCUGGACCGGCAUU
rnacentral:rRNA from 1 species